CGUGUGCAAUGCAUCCGACGUUGCCUGCUUGUGCAGUCUAUCGAGUGGCGCCAACGGACGCUCUGGCGUCGCAGAACAAAUCUCGGUGGUCACGGGGGACUUGCGCCUCGCGUGAUCAAGAGUGUAGUUCGUGUUCAAGCAAUUGACUCGAAUUCUGGUUGAUCCUACCAGUGAUAUACGCUCGUCUCAAAGGUUAAGCCAUGCAUGGCUUAAGUACAAGCUUCCUAGAAAGUGAAACCGCAUAAGGCUCAGUAUAACAGCUAUAAUUUACAAGAUCCUCAUCCAAACAGUUACUUGGAUAACUGUGGAAAAGCCAGAGCUAAUACAUGCAUUAUGCCGGGACUGUUGGCCUCCGGGUCGGCGGAACUGGUGCACUUAUUAGUUAAACCAAUCGCCUCCGGGCGCUUUGAGUUGAAAUCUGGAUAAGGAUGCCGAUCGUACGGUCGCUUGCGACUGACGACAGAUCUUUCAAAUGUCUGCCCUAUCAACUAUUGAUGGUAGUGUAGAGGACUACCAUGGUUGCGACGGGUAACGGGGAAUCAGGGUUCGAUUCCGGAGAGGGAGCCUGAGAAAUGGCUACCACAUCCAAGGAAGGCAGCAGGCGCGUAAAUUACCCAAUCCCGGCACGGGGAGGUAGUGACGAGAAAUAACAAUAUGGACCUCUCUAACGAUGGUCCAUAAUUGGAAUGAGUUGAGCAUAAAUCCUUUUGCAAGGAUCAAGUGGAGGGCAAGUCUGGUGCCAGCAGCCGCGGUAAUUCCAGCUCCACUAGCGUAUAUUUAAAUUGUUGCGGUUAAAACGUUCGAAGUUGAUACCCCGUCCAGACUCGCGUCCGUCGCGGGCGCCCGGCCUCUCGGUUGGGACCGUCCGUGUACGCGCUCGCGGCUGCGACUCACAAUGGUGUACCUGGGCGUUCUACUCCGUGACGGGUCAGGACUUGUCGCCGCGACCUCGUCGGUCAAGGUCUUGUUCGACCCAGCUUCAUGGUGCCCGGGAACUCUCGUUACCUUGAACAAAUUAGAGUGCUCAAAGCAGGCUAGUUCAAAGCGUCCGGUCCUCCGGGGCCGGCGUUGGCCGAGAAUAAUUUUGCAUGGAAUAAUGGAACAUGACCUCGGUCUGAGUGGUUUCGUGGUUUGUAAUAGACCAAGAGGUAAUGAUUAACAGAAGUAGUCGGGGGGCAUUGGUAUUACGGCGCGAGAGGUGAAAUUCGUAGACCGUCGUAGGACCCACAGAAGCGAAAGCGUUUGCCAAGA